rnacentral:tRNA from 1 species
GCCGUCCUAGCUCAGUUGGUAGAGCAUUCCCAUGGUAAGGGAAAGGUCGUCGGUUCAAUCCCGACGGACGGCUCCA